UUUGAGACACAGGUUCCUGUACGAUCACCGAAGUUAAGCAACAUCGAGCCUGGUCAAUAUCUAGAUAGGUGAACGCUUGUGAAUACCAGGUAUUGUAAG